UAGAUGUUUGCAACCGUACGUAGCGUCUUGCUGUUAUAAACCGCCCAGCAAACCAUAAGGUUUCCAAGCAACGUACUGACAGUGAUGAGCAAGAGGAUCGAUGUCUCUAUGACAACCAAGGCCGUGCUUCUCGCCUCCAUCUCCAUGCGAAAGUUUUCUGUGCUUUUCAUGGUUUCUACAACGGAAAAAUUAAGGUUUUUGUCGGACCUCCGGAAGUAAACUGGUGACAAUGCGGCUUUAAGUUGAUGACGUAAGAGGCAGACACAAACAUCCACCAAACAACUCUUGGGUUAGCCUGUGAGAAUGAUAGACAUCUCGGCGGGUGUUUUUCCUCAAAGAUGAAAGAAAAAAGCUACCUGGUGUGUCCAGACCAGUAGAGAGCUACCAUUCAGGAAGUCAUGUACAGAUCCAACCAACUUCCAAACAAAUGGACUCCUUGUAAUGGCAAAAUGGCUUGAAAAAGAAAAAAAAGGCAUCAAAUGGGUAUUCACUGGUUUAGUGUCUAGUGCAGAGGUUUAGCUAGCAUGGAGGAGGUUAUGAAGGUAGCUGGCUAAGACUUGUGUGUGAGUUUGUUUACCUAGUAGACCCCUUCCUCUAAUGUUCCUUGUCUUAGCUCCCAGUGGUACUCAAUUUUCUACGGUUUUUAUUUUAAAGACCUUUUUAGUAAGACCUUUUUGAUAAGACCUUCAAGCUGAGUGGGAUGCUUCUUUCUACCCCCCCUCCCCUCCCCCCCUCCCCUGCCUUCAGGCCUGGAGCCUCCUCCUACCCAAUAAUGUAAAAACCUUCAAUGGUAUUUAGAGAGCAAAAAUGUUGUAUUGUGUUAGUUAUAAAAGAAUACAAUUAAAAUAAAAUAAAAAAGAGUACUAACAAUAAACAUGUUAAAUUAAAAUCACAUUCACAGGAUAAUCACAGGUUCCUUUUGGGUAAUAAAAUUAAAAUCAAGCUAUGAAAGCAUAUCAAAUCAAGAUUCUACCUUGCAUCAUGUAGGUUGACCAUACCAAUCAGUGCACAACACCAUCCCAAUAUUACAGCAGCAACACACCCAGUCACAAAAUUAUCUGGGAACAGAAUCACCUGAAACAAGUCACAGGAUUUGUAAUGGUCUCAGAAAACAAAGCGAGCUGUGGUAAAGCAUCUAAGCAUACAAGGCAUGGCUACAGAAAAGUUCCAUCCUAAACACCAACAGAAGAAAAAUUCAGUUAACAAUAUCUUGGCCUUCAUCAGGUGGUUAGCAUGCUUAACAGGCGCUAGUUGCGUAAAAACACAGAGAGGAGACAGGAAGCAGUUUUUGAAGCUGAGUUUGCUUUUCCCUUCUUGCCCCAAUCCCACUAUUUCUGGCCAAGCACUAAGUCUAAUAAAUCAGCUUUUCCCAGAGCUUUUCUGGGGUGCUUUUCGAGAGACUGUUUCGCAGGCUAUCGGAGGUAGGAGUGGGGUCUCUGUGAAACAAAAUCCCUAUGUAUGUAGGGGAACAGGGAAAUGGUUAUAUCUUUUCUGGAAUAAAAUACUGUGUAACCAGUGUCAAAGGAAGGAAAAAGGAAGCUGAUGAUACAAUCAUGGGGGAGUUUUUAGAUUUGAAGGAUAUUGGUUCGAAACUCUACAUAUAAUAGAGCUGGGAGGUCAAGGAAAGUUACAAAUUCACUGUAUGGUCAGGUAACAAUUUUGAGCUUUUCCUUAUGUUAUGUUGUGUGCUAUGUUAUUUCAUUAAUUAUGGUGGGUCACACAUUUAAGUUAGUCAAAUGGUAAAAAUAUUCAUCUACCAUUUCUCCACAAAAAACAAUGGGACAAAUGUAAAAUAAAUUCCUGAUUAAAAAUAAGAAAAAAAACGAAACAAAGGUUUGUCACUAAUGAGCAAUUUACUAUGAAUACCCAAUAAACAAUGUAAUUUAAUACCCAAUAAACAGGGUAAUUUACCUGUGAAUACUGUAACCUAAUGCUCAAUUUACCUGUGAAUACCAGGAAACCAGAGCAACAAUUGGAAUUAGUGCAUAUCUAAGCAUCAUCCACCAGGAGAACUUGGGAUUCUACAAAACCAUCAACAACAGUAUGUCAAGGCAUACAUGUUCAAUGUUCCAUAUAGAUGUGGAUAAGGAAGAAAGAAGUGCAAUGAUGGAUCCUUCUUUACUCACUUGUUUUGUAUCUUUGAAGUACUUGUCAACUCUGUUUUUAACAGUUUCAAAAAAAGGCCUAGAAAAAUUAUGUUAUUAUAAGUUUUGUAGGAGCUGAUAAUUUACAUAGCAAAAAUAAACUUCAAAAAUUGC